rnacentral:tRNA from 1 species
GCCUUCGUGGUGUAGUGGUCAGCACGCUCGACGCGUAUUCGAGAGGUACAUGGUUCUAAUCCCGGCGAGGAUG